rnacentral:ncRNA from 2 species
UAUGAUCUUCGGGAGAGGGUGAAAUUCCCCACCGGUAGUAUAGUCUACGAGCUUUGCUAUAGCAGGGCAGAUCCGGUGUAAUUCCGGAACCGAUUGUGAAAGGCUAGAUGGUAGAAGAGUUUU